AUGGCUUAGAUAAGAGUCAUGAUCAAGUUAGAAUUUCUGCCACUUAAUUAGCCAAGACUACUAUUUUCUCAGUGAUAUCCAUAGCCUUUUUUUCCCUACAUUCCAUAGCCUUUUAAAACUCCUUGUUUUGUCUAAUAUUUCUGCCCCAACUUUAUAAGGUGAUUUUUUUUAGGGCUGAUUUCUCAUAGUAAACAAGAAUUAGUGCUUUCCCUAGAGAUAACGGAGAUGAAUCUGCCAGUUAAUAAAAUGUGCAGCGAGAUGCAGAUACAUUAAUUAAAUGACUCACUCCCAACUCAAACUCACAUUGCUACCACUCAAAUUUAUCCUUGGCAAAAUUUUAAAUAAUUAUGUGACCUAGAAUUUCAUGGUUACUAUCCAGUUGUUGAAAGCAAAAAUGCUAAAUUUCUGUAUCAUAGGGCCUCCUGUGCAGUCUGAAAUAGUAGUUUAAAGCUAUCAUAGGAAAAAAAGAGAAAAAUAUAUGAAGGCAGUGAGAAUUACUAAAAAGAUGGCAUGUAAGCUGCCAGAUCUAACUGAUUCAGACACUUUUAUAUUAAGAAUCAAUAAAAUAAAAAGUGAGCAUUUAUUACUGGUAGUUUAGGUGGAGAACUGCCUAAAUAAACCCUGCUAUAUACAAUAAAAUUAACUAUACCAGUCCAGGAUCCAACUAAUGAUUUGGAUAAAUAAGAUCUGAGAAAAGAAGGAGGUGGAAGGAAAUAUUUCAGUCAGAUAUAGACUCAAAAUCAAUAAUCAACUCAGAGGGAAUUUUGGUAAAAUAUAUUAAUACUCUUAAAAAUAUUUAUGUGCUUUGACCUGCAAAUUUAUUUUCCAGGAUUUUUUCCUAAGAAAUCAUGGAAAUUAUCAAAUAAUUGACUAAAAGGGUAAACACUUAAGAAAUCUCUGAAUAUUAAGGAAAAUUAGAGAUAACAUAAAUGGCAAAUGAAAGGUGCCAUUCAAAUAAUGUUGUUGGAAAAUAUUUAAUAACAUGGGGAAAUAUGAUUACAACAGAAAAAUGGCUUUUAUUUUUAUCUUUUUUGUCUUUUUGCUAUUUCUUGGGCCGCUCACGUGGCAUAUGGAGGUUCCCAGGCUAGGGGUCGAAUUGGAGCUGUAGACGCCGGCCUAUGCCAGAGCCACAGCAACGCGGGAUCCGAGCCGCGUCUGCAACCUACACCACAGCUCACGGCAACGCCGGAUCGUUAACCCACUGAGCAAGGGCAGGGACUGAACCCACAACCUCAUGGUUCCUAGUCGGAUUCGUUAACCACUGCGCCACGACGGGAACUCCUGAGUUUAUUUUUGUUAAAUAUAAGUGACAGGGACAAAACACUAAAGCUUAAGUAUUGUAAUAAUCCCAACUGCCUAUUCAAGGUGAGUCUUAAAAAAUUUUUUUUAAAAAUUGUAUUUUGCAAAAGUUAUAAUGGGAUGCACAUAGAACAUGUUGAGAUAAUGAGAAGAUGAGGUUCCUUGAGAAAGUACAUAUAUCUACUCUAAGCAUGUUGGGGAGGGGGCAGGGGAUGCUGAAGGUCCCAAAUGUUGAGAUAAAAAGAGAGCAACAGGGCUGAUGGUAGUUUUACAGCUUGAAGAAAGAAGAAAAUUAAGUGGAAUGACGGCUUACUGAUAAGAAAAGAUGACUAAAGAGCCUUGCAGGAAAGGUCUAAAGUCCUUGUCAAGGUUAUUUGGAGUUGAACUCUUUGCUGUAAUUGUAGCUAAGUGCUGAACCUGGUCAUGAGGAUGAACCAGUUUUAUUUAAACAAAACCACUAUGGGAAUAUACAUUGUGAAUGCUGGCCAACUCCUGGAGGAAUUUUUAUGGUUCAUCUUUGUGUUUUGCCCUAAGUUAAAAUAAAGAUACAUCCUGAAAUCUUAAAACUUGUAAUUAUUCUUAAUCUUUAAAAUAUAGCCCCUAAAUAAUAUUAUUGAUAAUGCUCGAUGUUUAAUGGAUGUCCGAAAAAGUUCAAUUCCCUAUCUCUCAUAGCAUUUCAUUUAUGAAUAAAAUAUACUUGUUAAUAUUGUUACUUUGUACACUUGAAGGUAGAAUGGUGGCUUAAUAGUACAUACUUAAGAAGACUAUGUUUUUGUUUCCUUUUUUAACAUUUUAUUUUUAUUUAAAAAAUAUGAUCCAAAAGCUCGACUCCUCUUUGAAGAUGUUCAAAUAUGUUGCAAGUAAUUUGUUCUAAUCCUGCAACUUAAUUUAGCAAAUGAGAUCAUUAAGAACCAGAAAUAUAAAUCUGCAGCAUGUUUUGGACUAACUCACUGGACUGGUAUCAUACCUCUUGGCUCAAAUUUUGCUUUUACUGGACAGCUUCUCCUGAAACUCUAAGAACAAAUGAAUUUAUUCAGAAUGCUCACAGAAACUUCUAUUUUAGUUUGGAUAUGUCUAUGACUUUAUUUUUCUUGCUUAUGAUUUUAUUUUCUUAAUUAUCUAUUGUGAAAGAAAUAUAAUAGAACAGAUAGCUUGUGAAAGAUGGUAUGAACUUACCUGGGUUUAAUGAAGCAACACUAAGUUAGGCAAGCCUAACUUCAGGGCUUAUUUCUCCUGUGCUCUGGAUGUCCCUGGUGACUCCUCAAAGAAUGGUGCAGAGGCAAGGAGUCUGAACAGUUUGGGUUCCGUUACCAUAUCCAAGCUUCAGGUAAAGAGGGUUUACCUUUAGCAGUUUUAUAUAUUUAUCUUCUGAGUAACCUAUUAUUUGCACAAAGGGAUUCAAUGACUUAAAAUUAAAACUGAAAAACUAAACACACUGUCCCAGUGCUAAUGUUAGACUAUUAGCCUAAAUCACAGUGUGUGGAGGCUUUUGUUGCUUGAAUUACCUUUGAAUGAGGGACUCUUUCAGAUGAUAAUUGUUUUAAAAUUUUUCCUAUAUACGGUUGGUUUUGAACUUUGCCAUUGCUCUAUAAUAAGCAUGUAGUAUAGUCAGAAAAUGAAACUUAAAAAAUGUAUCUCAACUUGGAUGUUAUAAAACUCAUUUCUCAUAGUAAAGAAAAUUUUGCGAAGCGGGAAGAAAUGGCUUUCUUGGUUGUUCAAUUUUUCUUCUACUUGCUGGUACAGUGACGUAAUGCUGGCUCCCGAGAUCUUGGCUUUGCUAUUUUUCCUCUGUAGUCAGACUGUUUAAUCCUUUUUGUGAAUGGCAUAUUAUUUAUUUAGAUAUGAAAAAAUAUGCUCAAGAAUACUUUCUAUCUCCUCCAUUGCUAUCCCACUGGUCCAGGCACCUGUCAUCUCUCACAUGCAUUAUGGCAAUGACCUCUCAACUGAUUUUUUUCCUUCUGUCAUUUAACCCCAGAAUGUAUUUUUAAGAGAGUGACUAAAAUUAGUUUCUAAAAAAGAAAUCAAAUUAUGUCAGCCAAUGCUCAGAAAUCUCCCGUAGUUUCCCAUAUUAAUCAUAGUAAAAUCUAAAGUCCACAACAUCCUUCUCUUCUCCCCCCAUGUAUUUUUGGUCUUCUAGCUCAUCUUCCUCAUGCCAGGAAUGCUCUCAUUGCAGGACUUUUGAGCAUGCUACUUCCUUCCUGGAAAUGUUCUUCCCUUAGAAAUUCCACUGACUUGUGCUCUCAUUUCUUUCAAAUAUCACUUUCACAGUGAAGCUUUGCUUAAUCACUCUAUUUUAUUAUUUUUUGAUAGGCAAGAAAUAGAUUUAUUAAGAUAAGACACUUGUGAGUGAUGCAAGCAGGCAGGCAAGGAGGAUCUUAAUCACUCUAUUUAAAAUUACAAUUUUGGAAUUCCCACUGUGGCACAGUGGGUUAAGAACCUGACUGCAGCAGCUUGGGUCAUUGCAGGGGUGCUAGUUCAGUGCAGCCCAGUGCAGUGGGUUAAGUAUAGGGGGCACCUGUAGCUUGGAUUCAAUUCCUGGGGUGGGGACCUCCAUAUGCCACAAGUGUGGCCAAAAGAAAAAAAAAAACUCAUUGAGAGGACUAGCAGAAUAAUAAAAGGGGUAGAACAUAUUAGAGAAAUUGAAUAUGUGAGGUACUAAAAAAAGAAUAAUAUUGAUAGCUUAGAAGCAAAACUGGUUAAUGUAUUACAGAUAAAUACAAUAGUAAAUUUGGAUUUUUUUUUUUUUUUUUUUGAAGCCGCACCUGUGGCAUAUGGAAGUUCCCAGGUUAGGAAUCAAAUCAGAGCUACAGCUGCCAUCCAGAGCCACAGAAAUGCCAGAUCCAAGCCACGUCUGUGACCUAAACCACAGCUCACAGCAACACCAGAUCCACAACCCACUGAGCAGGGCCAGGGAUUGAACCUGCAUCCUUAUGGAUACUAGUUGGGUUUGUUACCAUUGAGCCUCAAUGGGAACUCCUGGAGUUACAGUUCUAUCAGAAAGAAAAAAGUCAUUUGCAACUCCACUAGACAAAAAUCUACAAGUACCAAAUAAUUUCACAGCAUCUGAGCUCUAGUCAGUAAUCAAACAAAGGCAUGUUUGCUUGAUGAUUAAAUAAUCCUGGGCAUUCCUGUUAAACAAUAUGAUCCAAUAUGAUCUUGAGAGGACAGGAAGUUUUUCCUAAAACUCCUGUACCUAGAAAGGUGACUGUCCUGUAGUUAGUACUCAGUUAACCAAUAAAUAUUUGUUGCUUGCAUAAGUGAAUGUUAUUCUACUCUAUUAAAUUAAAGAAAAUUCUAAUUAUGCACUGAAAAUUAACCUGUGUCUUUAAGGUAUUAUAAUAAUAGUUUCCUUUUCAGCUACCAAUCUUACAUCCAUGUUUCUUUGACUAUGUUGCUCUUGUUCUUUCACACAAUCUAGUUGAUGGGUCAUGAGUAAUGAGGACAGUUAUCUUGGCAAGAAGAAAUUCUAUGCAAAAUAUACGCAGCAUGGUUAAUACAAGAGUAAAGUUGAGAAAAUAUCUACAAUUAUUUAUGACAAGUUGACCUAAGGUUUGGACAAUAAACAGAUAUUUACACCUUUAAAAAAGUAUAUUCAGCAUAUGACAGGAGAAAAAUAUAAAUUGGUACAUUUCUGAAAUUCAUUUUGAAUAGAAAGAUUUAUAAGUAUAUAUAGUUGGAUGACCAGGCAAUUACAAUUUUAUGCAUUUAGAUCUUGAGCAAUUUAAAUUUUCUUUGUAUUUGCUUUAUUUUCUCUUGUUUUUUUCCUACAAAGAACUGAAACCAACUAAUAGCACUCAGUGCAAUGAAAAAUAAAGUCUUAUUAUAUAUAUUGGUAUAAGUUAUUUACGAGUAUACCCAGGCUUUAGGAUUUUUGGUAUAUUGCCAAAUUGCUAUCAAAUAUUAAGUACUGUGUAUUUAUAAAUUCUAUGUUUCCUUUAAAUGUUAAAAAUUUUAUAUUUGAAAUAUUUGUAAUAAUUUCAUGUGCAUGUAGAUAAACACACACACACAAGUGUGCACUAACACAUACCAUAUCAACCUGUAAGAAGACAAACAUGUUUGAAUUGAAAAUCUCUAUGGAAUAAUAUGAAAAUGUGCAUGGAAUUGCUCUGUUUUCCUCUCAAAACAUUAUACAGCUAAACUUACAGAUUUCAUAUCUAGUGGAAGAAUCAAACUCAAAAAGACUUUGUAAUUAAGGACAAUUAUGGACUUUAAAAUGAGUUUUGACUCCCCUCACCCCUGAGUGUUGGCUGCACUGAAGGACAACUUUUAAUGAAAAGAGGAAAUUAAAUUUACAGUGGACAGAGUCCCCAUCGUGGCUCAGUGGAAGCAAAUUUUACAAGCAUCCAUGAGGAUUCGGGUUCGAUCCCUGGCCUCACUCAGUGCAUUAAGAAUCUGGCAUUGCAAUGAGCUGUGGUGUAGGUUACAUAUGUGGCUUGGAUCUGGUGUUGGCCAGCAGCUGAAGCUCUGAUUUGACCCCAGCCUGGGAACCUCCACAGGUCACAGGUGCGGCCCUAAAGAGACUAUAUAUAUAGUGGAGAAACAUGGCCAAUAUUACCUUGGCCGGGUGAGCAAGGUGACCAUUGUCAGGGUUAAGUCACGUUGAAAACCUAUGCUUUUGUUUUGCUGUGAGAACACUUCACUUCUAUGGUAUUCUUCCUAAAAACCUCUCCACUCUAGGUUUACCAUGAGAAAAAUAUCAGACAAACCCAAAUUGAGAGACGUUGUAUAAAAUACCUUCCUGCUAUUCAAAAAUACUCUCAAGGUCAUCAUGAAAAACUAAGAGCUGUCAUAGACCAGAGGAGAGUCAAGCGAUGUGACUGCUAAAUGUGAUGUGGUACCCUGGAUGCGAUACUGCGACAGAAAAAGAGUCUUGGAAAAGCUAGUGUAAUCUACACUGAAUUUAAGAGCAAUAUGACUGUGUUAGUUUCUUAGUUGUUGCAAAUGCACCCUGGUGGUAAGGUGUUACCAAA
rnacentral:lncRNA from 1 species